UGAAAAGAACUUUGAAAAGAGAGUUAAACAGUACGUGAAAUUGUUGAAAGGGAAACGAUUGAAGUCAGUCAUACCAACGGGAAAUCAACCUUUUGAGCUCGGUCUCGUGGGUUUUGAAGAGUUUCAAAGCCUUCGGAUUCGCGGGAUUGGGAUCUCUUGGCGUACUUUUUCGUACGGUUAGUCAACAUCGGUUUUGAAUGUCAUAAAAUGACUGGA
rnacentral:rRNA from 1 species